CCUACGGGAGGCAGCAGUGAGGAAUAUUGGUCAAUGGUCGGGAGACUGAACCAGCCAAGCCGCGUGAGGGAUGAAGGUACAGAGUAUUGUAAACCUCUUUUGUCAGGGAACAAAGGCGGGGACGCGUCCCCGGAUGAGUGUACCUGAAGAAAAAGCAUCGGCUAACUCCGUGCCAGCAGCCGCGGUAAUACGGAGGAUGCGAGCGUUAUCCGGAUUUAUUGGGUUUAAAGGGUGCGCAGGCGGUCUGUUAAGUCCGCGGUCAAAGCCCGGGGCUCAACCCCGGCCCGCCGUUGAAACUGGCAGUCUCGAGUUGGAGAGAAGUAUGCGGAAUGCGCGGUGUAGCGGUGAAAUGCAUAGAUAUCGCGCAGAACUCCGAUUGCGAAGGCAGCAUGCCGGCUCCACACUGACGCUGAGGCACGAAAGCGUGGGUAUCGAACAGGAUUAGAUACCCUGGUAGUC
rnacentral:rRNA from 1 species